rnacentral:lncRNA from 1 species
GGGGUUUCACCGUAUUAGACAUGAUGGUCUCAAUCUCAUGACCUUGUGAUCCGCCUGCCUCAGCCUCCCAAAGUGCUGGGAUUACAGGCGUGAGCCGCCGCGCUUGGCCUAUACAUGUUAAGUUUUUAAGGAUAAUAUCUGUUCUGAUAAAUCUACAACAACAAAGGAUAAUGUUUAGCAUAUAGAUACCACUUAGUAAAUGUUUAUUAAGUGAUUUGCUAUAAUGUAAAUGAUGGCAGCAAUGAGCAGUGGCUGCUGCCAAGACACCAGCUGCAGUGGGGUAGGUGUGGCUGGGCUGCAUGCUCCAUGGAGCGGGCGGGAGCUGAUAUCAAGCGGUAGCCUCACCCUCCUGGGUACAGCUAUAGAGCCACGGCUGCGGACCCGGGCAUCUCUGUACCCUGCCCCACUUUCAGGCUCAGAGAUGUCUGCUCCCAUUGCCUGACUUCUUCCAGCUCCUGGCACCAAUCUUGAAGGGAGGUUGGUCCUGAAUCCAGGUGUUUUCACAGCCUGGCCGGGUGUACACAUGUUUGGGGUAGCGCUGACACGCAAGCUCCCCGCUAUGUCGCCCCCGCCGGACUUUGGGUGCUGAUGAGCAUGUGAGGGAAGCUGAGGGGAGGUGAAGGGCAGCUCAGUGCUGUACUGCAGGUGCCGCUUCACGUAAACAGCCUGGGCUCCAUGAACAGCGGCAAGAGACAGACAGGCUCCUAGGUGGAAGGGGACGUGUCCCUAAUAAAGCUCCACCUUCAAGCUGGGAGGACUUGAAUCCCAGGGCAGGCUGCGGGUCCUGCGGACUAGAAUGGGGACUUGUGGGGUUUUUUCAGGGCCCACCAUGGCCACCCAUGGACCAAUCGGCAUGCACUUCCUCCCCUCUGAGGUCCAUAAAAGCCCUGAACUGAGCCAUACUUGAGGACAUGACAGGAUGGCAAGCUGUGGAGAUGAACCACCCACUCCAGGGUCUCUUCUUUGCUCAGAGUUGAACAUUCUUUGGGUCACCCUGACAGCAAAGAGGAGCUAUGCAUUGUGGGUCUCCUCUGAGCUGCUCAAUAAAACUCCUCAUUGCCUUGCUCACCCUCCACUUGUCUGCGUACUUCAUUCUUCCUGGGUGCAGGACAAGAACUCCGGCACUGCCUACUGGCAGGGUUAAGAGAAAUGAGACACAAACAGGGCUGAAACAUGCCCCUUGCUUGCCACGUUGUGGGUGACAAGAAGGAGAGAAGAGAGAAGGAAAGAAGAGCUGCAGCCCUACAGGGAGCUCAGACCUGGGAAAUCCCCAAGCCAGUGCUUCCGGAAUUGGUGGGUUCUUGGUCUCACUGACCUCAAGAAUGAAACCGCAGACCCUCGCGGAAUUUGGACAGAUGGAGCAAUCUUUCUCUGCUCUGUGAUGUGACUCAACAACAUGGAACUCAAAUAGUCUGGAGACAUCUUCAAUCUCAUAUCUGAAACUUGAUGUGUGCUGGCAGUUGGAACCUCAGCUAAAUUGCCAUCCCUAGCAACCACACCUAGCCAUUUCAUGUGGCCUUUCUGCAUGGACUAUUUUAAUUUUCCUCUCAGAAUGGUUGCUGGAUUCAAAGAAAAAUCAUCCUAAGGAAAAUGAAGUGGAACUUCAUGACUUUUUCAUGACACAAUCUCAGAAUUCAAAUGCAUCAUUUUUGCCAUAUAGUAUUGGCCAAAGCGCUCAGAAAAGCCCACAAGGUCAAGAAAGGGCCAAAGGGAUCCUCUUGAUAGGGACGUUGCAAGGUUCUAGAAGAGCUGUGGAACAAAUAAUGGAUAUUGUUUCAACAUCUUUGGAACAUAUAAUAUGUCCCAGAUAAUUAGAAGAAUGUACAUCAUACAAUUGUAUUCAAAUUAUUGUAAAAAAUUAAAUUCACCAGAUUCAUAUUUCAAUUUCUAGUAAAAUUUAAUUUAUUUGUGCUUGGAAAUCAUUAUUACUCCAUGAGUAAGGGAGACUCAGAAUAGAGUUAAGAGCUCACUCUGAUAAAGCAAAUGUGACUAAAAAUUUUGGAAGUGCCAUAUAUAUAGAUGAAUAUAUAUUCAUCUAUUAAUUGAUGAACAUUAAAAUAAAUGUAGAAUGGAUAUUAACCCAGAACAAAGAGGAUAAUAAACUCCUUCUCCUUCCCUUGUUUUGUCUUUUCUGGGUUUUGAAGAGAUUAAGGCAAUUAGAAGUUCUGUUGUAGGAGGUGACUACAUAAAGUUUGUUCUAGAUAAUUAUAAGGUAGCAAAUAAAUACGUAUAAUGACAUGUAUUCUCUACAUUUCCUUACAAAUUGCUCAGCUCAAAUCAAUACUCUAGUAAGGUAGGCAGUCAUUGAUUGCAUUUGUCCAGAUCAGAGUAAUACAUAAUGGUUAAAAAAAAAAACACACAAGAAAUUCUAAUAAUAUUUAAGCAUUGUGUGUAAACAUCUCUUAAUAUUGUAAUUAUUUAUUGGCAGGCCACGUUACGUUAUAGUCAUACUAUAGAGGUUUUGGUUAGCAUUCUAAACAUUGCUAUUUAUACUUUGAGUCAAAAGAAAUUGUUGAACUUGUCAGCUUUUUUUGCAUCAACAAUACAAUACAGCUUGACAGAUUCUUGGUAAAAAUGAGACUUCUUGAGGGUGGGUUGCAAAUGACCUAGUAGAUCAAAAUAGAAGAAGCAAAAAUGAUGAUUUUAUAAAGGACCUAUUUUUAUUGUGAAAUAAUUUAUGCACUUUAUUCUUGGUUUCUUUUAAUUCCCUUUAAUAAAAUAUGAUAAUAUCUACCCUCUUUAAUGCAUAUAUAUUUAGAAAUUUAAACUCUCACUAAUGGAGAUAUGCAAACUCUCACCAGUAUAAAUUGUUUAGGACUUACAUCCGUUACAAUUUAUCUGUAGGUUGGUUAAGAUUGAUUUGUGACUCUAUUGCUCUAAUUAAACAUUUUGAAUAUCAUCAUAUCUCAUUAUAGAUUUGUAUGACUGUUCUAUAUCUAUUUAUAUCUAUACCUAUACCUAUAUCUAUAUCUAUAUAACUACAAAGCUAUAUACACACACACACACAUAUGUGUGUGUAUAUGUUUUAAAUUAGAGACAGGGUCUCACACUGUUGCCCAGGCUGAACUGCAGUGGCAUGAUCAUAGUUCACUGUAACCUUCAACUACUAGGUGUAAGUAAUCCUCCUGCCUCAGCCUCCUGAGUAGGGUCUACAGGCAUGGGUACUACUGGCAAUGUCUACAGGCAUGCACCUCUGUGCCCAGUUGAUUUUUUUUUAAUUGUAGUUAUGGUGUCUCACGCUGUUGCCCAGGCUGGUCUUGAACUCCUGACCUCAAGUUAUCCUCCCACCUCAGCCUCCCAAAGUGCUGGGAUUACAAGCAUGAGCUACCACAGCUGAGCAGAUAUAUGUUAUUUAUAUUUAUAAAGUAUCCACUACUCGGAUCCAAAUGUAGCUCACUAUUACUUCCACCAUCUGUCAAAAUACUUGAAGAAAGAAGUCAAAGAUACACUCUCAAUGUAUGUGUUAUUCCAUAUGAAAAAGUCUCCUCUAUUUAGAAAAAAAAUUUCUCACAUUUUUUAUUCCCACAGUAACUUUCAAAAUAUAUACAUAUAUAUUU